GAUGAACGCUAGCGGCAGGCCUAACACAUGCAAGUCGAGGGGGAAGUUACUUUCGGGUGACUGAGACCGGCGUACGGGUGCGUAACGCGUAUACAAUCUGCCUUUCACUGGGGGAUAGCCCGAAGAAAUUUGGAUUAAUACCCCAUAGUAUAUAGGGACGGCAUCGUUUUUAUAUUAAAGCUUAGGUGGUGAAAGAUGAGUAUGCGUUCUAUUAGCUAGUUGGAGAGGUAACGGCUCCCCAAGGCGAUGAUAGAUAGGGGUUCUGAGAGGGAUGUCCCCCACACUGGUACGGGGUAACGGACCAGACCCCUACGGGGGGAAGCGGUGGGGAAUAUUGGAAAAUGGUGGGAAGCCUGAUCCAGCCCGCCCGCGUGGAGAAUAAGGGUUUUAUGGAUGUUAAACUGCUUUUGUAAGGGAAAAAAAGGGGCUAGGCGGGGUUUGGUGACGGUACCUAACAAAUAAGCAGCGGCUAACCCCGU
rnacentral:rRNA from 1 species